GAAAACUCAAUACCUUAGGAAAAUAUUCAAUGGCCUACAAUACUUGGAAAUAUCCCACAUCAGUCAAAAUAUCCAGCACCUUGUCAAAACCAAAGCAAAUCCAUGCAGAUAGGUUGUUUCUAGCAGCUUGAUGAAACCAAGGCAAACUUACAGGCCGCUGUAAAUAAAACACCAACUACCCAACACCUUAGAAAAUAACCCAGCCCAGCAUCUU
rnacentral:lncRNA from 1 species